UACGUAGGGUGCAAGCGUUUGUCCGGAAUUAUUGGGCGUAAAGAGCUCGUAGGCGGUCUGUCGCGUCUGCUGUGAAAACUCAGGGCUUAACCCUGAGCUUGCAGUGGGUACGGGCAGACUAGAGUGCGGUAGGGGAGACUGGAAUUCCUGGUGUAGCGGUGAAAUGCGCAGAUAUCAGGAGGAACACCGGUGGCGAAGGCGGGGUCUCUGGGGCCGUAACUGACGCUGGAGGAGCGAAAGCCAUGGGGGAGCGAACAGG
rnacentral:rRNA from 1 species